rnacentral:rRNA from 1 species
AACGAACGCUGGCGGCAGGCUUAACACAUGCAAAUCGAACGCCCCGCAAGGGGAGUGGCAGACGGGUGAGUAACGCGUGGGAAUCUACCCAGUUCUACGGAACAACUGAGGGAAACUUCAGCUAAUACCGUAUACGCCCUACGGGGGAAAGAUUUAUCGGAAUUGGAUGAGCCCGCGUUGGAUUCGCUAGUUGGUGAGGUAACGGCUCACCAAGGCGACGAUCCAUAGCUGGUCUGAGAGGAUGAUCAGCCACACUGGGACUGAGACAUGGCCCAGACUCCUACGGGAGGCAGCAGUGGGGAAUAUUGGACAAUGGGCGCAAGCCUGAUCCAGCCAUGCCGCGUGAGUGAUGAAGGCCUUAGGGUUGUAAAGCUCUUUCAGUGGGGACGAUAAUGACGGUACCCACAGAAGAAGCCCCGGCUAACUUCGUGCCAGCCGCCGCAGUAACAC